rnacentral:rRNA from 1 species
UCGGAGCGGACAGAAGGGAGCUUGCUCCCGGAUGUUAGCGGCGGACGGGUGAGUAACACGUGGGUAACCUGCCUGUAAGACUGGGAUAACUCCGGGAAACCGGAGCUAAUACCGGAUAGUUCCUUGAACCGCAUGGUUCAAGGAUGAAAGACGGUUUCGGCUGUCACUUACAGAUGGACCCGCGGCGCAUUAGCUAGUUGGUGAGGUAACGGCUCACCAAGGCGACGAUGCGUAGCCGACCUGAGAGGGUGAUCGGCCACACUGGGACUGAGACACGGCCCAGACUCCUACGGGAGGCAGCAGUAGGGAAUCUUCCGCAAUGGACGAAAGUCUGACGGAGCAACGCCGCGUGAGUGAUGAAGGUUUUCGGAUCGUAAAGCUCUGUUGUUAGGGAAGAACAAGUGCAAGAGUAACUGCUUGCACCUUGACGGUACCUAACCAGAAAGCCACGGCUAACUACGUGCCAGCAGCCGCGGUAAUACGUAGUGGCAAGCGUUGUCCGGAAUUAUUGGGCGUAAAGGGCUCGCAGGCGGUUUCUUAAGUCUGAUGUGAAAGCCCCCGGCUCAACCGGGGAGGGUCAUUGGAAACUGGAAAACUUGAGUGCAGAAGAGGAGAGUGGAAUUC